UAGGGAAUAUUGGGCAAUGGACGGAAGUCUGACCCAGCCAUGCCGCGUGCAGGAAGAAGGCGCUCAGCGUUGUAAACUGCUUUUAUCGGGGAAGAACGGCAGUCCUGCGGGAUUGUGUGACGGUACUCGAGGAAUAAGCACCGGCUAACUCCGUGCCAGCAGCCGCGGUAAUACGGAGGGUGCGAGCGUUGUCCGGAUUUAUUGGGUUUAAAGGGUGCGUAGGUGGUUGAGUAAGUCUGGUUUGAAAGUCAGUCGCCUAACGAUUGAGGGUGGCUGGAUACUGCUGAACUUGAAUGCCCUGGAGGUAGGUGGAACGGGUUGUGUAGCGGUGAAAUGCAUAGAUAUGACCCGGAACACCGAUUGCGAAGGCAGGCUACUGGGCCUUAAUUGACACUGAGGCACGAGAGCAUGGGUAGCGAACA
rnacentral:rRNA from 1 species